rnacentral:rRNA from 1 species
UACGGAGGGUGCAAGCGUUAUCCGGAUUCACUGGGCUUAAAGGGUGCGCAGGUGGUUCGGUAAGUCCGUGGUGAAAUCCCCGAGCUUAACUCGGGAACUGCCGUGGAUACUAUCGAUCUUGAAUACUGUGGAGGUAAGCGGAAUAUGUCAUGUAGCGGUGAAAUGCUUAGAUAUGACAUAGAACACCAAUUGCGAAGGCAGCUUACUACACAGUUAUUGACGCUGAGGCACGAAAGCGUGGGGAGCAAACAGG